GACGAACGCUGGCGGCGUGCUUAACACAUGCAAGUCGAACGGGGCGAAGUGAUAGCUUGCUAUUAUGGAGCCUAGUGGCAAACGGGUGAGUAACGCGUAGGCAACCUGCCCUUCAGAUGGGGACAACACCUCGAAAGGGGUGCUAAUACCGAAUGACGUUUCCUGGUCGCAUGACCUGGAAACCCAAAGGCCGGGCAACCGGUCACUGAAGGAUGGGCCUGCGUCUGAUUAGCUAGUUGGUGGGGUAACGGCCUACCAAGACGAUGAUCAGUAGCUGGACUGAGAGGUUGAACGGCCACAUUGGGACUGAGAUACGGCCCAG
rnacentral:rRNA from 1 species